CAUUUUAAGUUCAUUUCUCUUGCCCACUAUUAUAGAUCAACAAACAAAGUGGCGAAUUGGGUCACAAAAGCCCAUCGUUUGAAAUCCAAUGCAAUAUACACUCAAGGAAUUCAUGGAAAAAUAAAAAUCCAAGUACGUUUCGUUCAGGU